rnacentral:ribozyme from 1 species
AAGAACAGAACCAGAAUGGAACAAAAAUUCAUUAUUUUCAUCAUCGUCGCCGUCGCUUUGAUUUUCUUUUGUUUUCUUGUUCUUCUCUGAGAUUUUUAUUGGUCGGUGCCGCUCUUUUGAC